rnacentral:rRNA from 1 species
GACGGAGGGUGCGAGCGUUAUUCGGAAUCAUUGGGCGUAAAGAGCGUGUAGGCGGCCGGUUAAGUCAGGUGUGAAAGCCCGGGGCUCAACCUCGGAAGUGCACUUGAAACUGGUCGGCUUGAGUUCGGGAGAGGGUAGCGGAAUUCCUGGUGUAGAGGUGAAAUUCGUAGAUAUCAGGAGGAACACCGGUGGCGAAGGCGGCUACCUGGACCGAAACUGACGCUGAGACGCGAAAGCGUGGGGAGCAAACAGG